GCCUGGCUGGCUCAGUUGAUACAGUAUGAGACUCUUAAUCUCAGGGUUAUGAGUUCGAGCCCCAUGUUGGGUG
rnacentral:tRNA from 1 species